CAGUCGCCGCGGUAAUACGAAGGGGGCUAGCGUUGCUCGGAAUCACUGGGCGUAAAGGGUGCGUAGGCGGGUCUUUAAGUCAGGGGUGAAAUCCUGGAGCUCAACUCCAGAACUGCCUUUGAUACUGAAGAUCUUGAGUAUGGGAGAGGUGAGUGGAACUGCGAGUGUAGAGGUGAAAUUCGUAGAUAUUCGCAAGAACACCAGUGGCGAAGGCGGCUCACUGGCCCAUAACUGACGCUCAUGCACGAAAGCGUGGGGAGCAAACAGGAUUAGAUACCCGGGUAGUCCCUGUCUCUUAUAC
rnacentral:rRNA from 1 species